GCCGUUGUGGCGGAACUGGCAGACGCACAGCACUCAAAAUGCUGCGAAGUUUCUUCAUGUGGGUUCGAGUCCCACCAACGGUA
rnacentral:tRNA from 1 species